ensembl:lncRNA
UUCUUCAACUGGACCCUGAGACUGAACACCUCCCUCUUCCACUGGACCCUGAGACUGAACACCUCCCUCUUCCACUGGACCUUGAGACUGAACACCUCCCUCUUCCACUGGACCCUGAGAUUGAACACCGCCCUCUUCAACUGGACCCUGAGACUGAACACCUCCCUCUUCCACUGGACCCUGAGACUGAACACCUCCCUCUUCAACUGGACCCUAAGAUCAGGGCCUGAGAUCAGGGCCUAAGGGCUCAUAAAAAUGUAUGAGCCCUAAGAUCCUCCAAAACCUCUACAGCUGCAUGGUUGAGACCAUCUUGUAUUAUAGUAUUAUAAAAGCUCAGAGAACCAUUGGCCACUCUGUCUCAAUCAGCUGACCUGGUCAAAUACCUGGUAUCAGUUUGUUCAUGCAGGGGAGACCAUUGCUGAAGGGGGCCAGUAGAUGGCAAUACAUCUAUAUGUCUCUUACUGCAUGUUCUAGACAGGACUGACUACAGUGUAAAUGCAUUUACAACAAUUUACCACAUGGAAGCAGUAGAAUGGCGCUGAGGGCUGAACUCAUUUUCUGUGUUUUACAGGGUGUAUGCAUAUUCAUGAUGUCAAUAACACACACACACACACACUCACACGCACCUUUCUUUCAUGGUGUUUGUUUAUUUUUCCUUCCAUGUGGGACCUUGAGACCUUACCCUGACCCUGGAAUAUAUUUUACAUUUUCCUGAGCCUAACUUUACCCUCAUAUGUUUUGCUGUAAUUGUCUGGCCAGUAUUGGGGUUUACACCUGAUUUACAAUGAAAAUACUGUUUUAACUAACCAUAAAUCUUACCGUAGCUAAACCACAAACUUCCUAACCGUAUACAUACAUGUAACCCUGAUUCUAAUCGAACCCAUUACCAUGACUUCAACCCCUAAUUCACACCCUGCCAUAACUCUAUGCAGAAACAAUACAGAUUUUUUAAAUGUGAGACAUAAAAACAAAGUCCUCACUCCUUGGUGUGGUAUACUUGUCAGGGCUUUUGAGGGCGUCCAUUUCUCAAGGCGUCCCACUCCCAAGCUGGGGACGGCUUCAGGUCUCUCCUAAUGCUGUGCAUGGCACAGGGCGUUGUAAACAGGGAGUAUGUAGGGGGUAAAUGAACUGCCUAGGUCAGCACCUCUAGAGAAGAAACAGCAUGUGACUAAUGAACAAGAAUCAUAUAUACUUUUCAAUGGGCUUUCCACUGGGGUUCGAGGAUCUAUAGAGGUCUGAAUAUAUGCAAACUGAACUGCUAAUUAAACACGUUCAAUACUGCUCAUAAUGCCAUUUUAAAUGUUUACUACAUUAAACCACAGGGAUGUUAUGCUAUGGCGAUUAUAGACAACCUGAAUGUGUGGGGCUCUGAACAUUACAGUGAGUGUUGUUUUCAACACGAUUAGGCUGUUCAGUCUGUUAAGGCAGCCCAGAGGUGUGUUUGGGUCUGCUCCGCACGGUGCCGAUAGACCAAGAAAUGUGGAGUUUUAGAGAAUAGCCAGGGUGGUGCCGGAUCAUCGGGCGCACAUCAGCACCGUGCCACCGAGCCCAGAGGGCCCACCGUGGAAGAUCUGUGGGCUGCCGAAACGGCCAACAGCACCAUGCGCCACACUUGAAGAUCGUCAGGGCUCGUCAGGUGAAGCUUGAAAAGGGACCUCAAGAGAGGUGAGGGGAGAGGUGUGUGUUCUCAGUGGUUACAGAUGAAGACCCAGAAGCCCAACACCAGCUGUGAGGGCUGUGUCAAUAAACACCUUUGGGCAGCUCACGCCAGACCUGUACUCGCUCUGCAUGUCCACCCGUUACAAAAGACACGCUUUGAUAUGUAGAAACAACACGUGCAAAAUAUUUUUCCAGUACAUGAGGAUUUAGGUGUGCCACCGCACAUCUGUUUAUGUUGGAUAAAGUGGUUAACAGUGCUCAAUGGUCGCCAGGGAGAUCUGAGGUAAACAAUACUACAGCUCAAGAAAACUGAGGUGAUCUUUCAGUUUGAGGUGAUCUUUCUGAGUUGGGUAUUUCUGAGUUACAUAUUACUAUCAUGUCUGUAGUUGUGUCUUUGUAUACUUAUUUAUCAUAAGUCAUUUAUGUCGUAUUUAUGGGCCGACCACUGCUUUGGUCUGGGUGCCGGCACCACAUUGGUGAGGUCCUCCUGAACCAGGUUUUCACAGACCUGAAGGUGGAGUCAUCACGCUCGCCAGAGGUUACCUUGUUCACACGUCUGAGAGAGAAAUGGAACCUGUUACCACAAGAAUCCAGAAGCCAAUGGACCCGCUACAUUCCUGGCAACACCGAGCAACCGCUCCUGGGCAAUGUACGUGCUGAACUUGUCAGGUGCGCAAAUGAAGUCACUGACCACUGGCGAGGUGACUACCAUGAGUUUGUGCAGCUGUGUCUUGUGUUUCUGGAUGCAGAUGGUGAAGAGCAGACUGCAGUGACCUUCCAACGACCGGGGGCGCUCCACAAGGCCCGAUGGAUGGCCAAGCUGCUCUAUACUCUCAAGCUGGCUUUGAUGGAGCAGCACAUCGCGUUGCCUCCCCAGGGCACAAUCACCACACGGCAGCAGGCGUACAAGGCUGUAGAUGAGGGCAUUGCAGCAUCAGCGAUCAAGGCGCUGGAGAGGCAUCGCUGGUACCUGACAGGUGAGAUGCUACCCCUGGCUCUCUUCAGCAGCAAGGUGCCCAAUGAUGACAAGCAUGCACUUGCCAGAGCGAUCUUGGAGCACAAAUCCGCUGAUCUCCCCAUGCACAUCCCUGAGCAAGCCGAAGUUCCCCACCCGCAGAAUGUGCUUCAGGCAGUUGACCAUGACCGCAACCAACAGCCAAACCUUUGCCGCUGCAAAUGCAAACCAAUCCCUGAGUAGGACGGUUACUCUUGGGUGGCGGGUGGGGAGACAUAUCUGGGGGGAGACGCACUGGCUAGGUUCAGAGUUCAGGUUCCAUUUCCUCUCUCUUUCCCCCGGGUGAUGUUGCUCAGUGGAGCAGACUUUGGCACAGACUGAGCAAUUAAGUUUGAAGUUUAGUUAGUGUCAGAUCUUACCAUUAGGCCCUGUUAGUUGCCAGUGAGUUAGCCACUAGAGAGGUUUUGUUCUUUUAAGUGUGUCAGUAUCGCCCCUUGUGUUUGACAAUAAAGUCAAUUAAACUUUAUAUGUGUCCGACAUCCAUCACUGCUGCACAAAAUUCAGGGUAAGGCCACGUGAACAUGUCCCAUUGACCUCCAUUCAUUUUGUCUAUAGGACAAAUGAAUGGAGAAUCUUGAAAGUUGAAUUCUGAGAAAUGCCCAAGUUGCCCUAAGGGCAAACAAACAACUUUUUCUUUGGUAACCCUAUAGAACAUGUUACUGUAUAAAAGUUCACUGUACUCAACAUUUCCAGGUCAACGUUUUGGCAAUUAGACUAAAAAUUGCAAAUUGUUUGAAAUUUCGCCAAAGUUCAUGUGUUUGGUGGCACCCCAAAAUCUCAAUGGAAUUCCUCAAAACUUUGCAAAAGUCAUUUUUAUGUUAAUUGGAACCAAAUGCAAUGCCAGCCAAAUUGAUAUUUUGAAAUUCAAAUCUCCCAUUCAAAUUUGAUGCACCCUAAUGCUGGCGUUUCAAAUCCUUAUGUCCUUAUUUCUACACACCAUUCGCGUGGGGGCAGUUGCUUCCUGACAGCCAGCGUUGAUGACAGUGGAAAUGGCUCCGUACUGGCACAGGUGGAGAGGCUUUGACGGAGGAGCCACGUGAAAGGGCACAUUGGAUCUGUCAAUAUGUGCCCUGGUCACACAUCAGUGAAUGUCAGUGCCAUAAAAUAUUGUGUACACACCUCUCCCAUCGACAGGUUGCCAUCGAUUGGUUUCUAGCCAACAACACAGAAUGACGGCUCCCUCUGGCUCCCGCUCUGGCUCCCUCUGGCUCCCGCUCUGGCUCCCUCUGGCUCCCCCUCUGGC